GGAGGAGGAGCAGCGGGGCGGGAUGGAUGGGGCCGGGAGGAGGAGCUGGAAGGAUGAAGAGUAUCUGGGUUUGCUGAUUUGUGUGAUGGGAACUGGGCUCACUGUAUGAGUCUUCUGAUUUUGACUGCUGUCUCAGCAAUAUUAGGUUUCUAAAAGAAAACUAUUAAAAUUCAUGCUGUUUGCUACUAAAAUACAACUCCAGAACAUCUGACCUCCACAACAUAUGCAGUAGAAUCUUAAAGCUUGUGCCUUGACAAUCCUUGGAAUUAAACCUUAGAAAGAACAGAGAACUUGACUUCAUUAAGGGAAUGGCAGUGCCUGCCUUCUUGGAAGGACACACAGACAAGACAGAAGAUCAGCCCUAAGGAUGCAGAAGGGAGAAUGAACAUGCAAGAGCUGCCUGCUAUCAGCACUCACUGUGUCUGGAAGAAUCAUUUAAUUUCAAGAACUCUGCUGGCACAGAAGGAUGUUUAGCAGAAGCCCACAUGAAUUAAGUGUUGUGCAAGGCAGCCUUGUAGUGGUAAUUUUGGAUGCAAGUUUUGAGAAACCCAGCAUUCAGCAUAUUCUUCCCUGUUUAAAAGCACUAUCAUACAUUUUACAGAACGUCAGGCUAUUAUGAGUUAUUUGCAGUAAAACAUUCAAAAUUAUUGUUUUCAUAGGUCAAAUUAUCUCAAGUACCUUAAAUGUUCCCCUGCAGAGAGAAUCUAAUGCCCGAGCUCUCAUGCACACACAGUGCAUUUGUUAAUCCAACCCUCUGAAUUUGCUCACAGGCAGAAUUAAACCUGAAGAAUCAGACCUGAACAUGUUAUCUUUAAAAACAAGAAAAUGUCUAAGAUAAAAAGCAAGCACAGCAAGCAGAAUAUGCUGUCAUCUAGAGCAUGAACAUUUGAAUGAAUCAGAAUAAUUUCAGUCCUCAAUUUAAUUUCAUGCAUAAGACAAGCACACUUACUUGCCACCUAUUAAGAGAACACAAAUUUUGUUCCACAGCUAGUCAGCUCUUGAAUUCCUGCAUCCAAUUUGAAAAACUAAGUCUUUAUUUCAAAAUUUUCCCAGAACAGGGAUUAACUAUGAUGAUUCGGACAUGAAAUUCUAAUUCAGGUACUAACCUUGAAAUUCAGAUUCUGACUUGAG